ensembl:lncRNA
GACGUCACGUGGAGGGAUCCGCGAGCUGGCUUCAAGAAGUACCGUGGUUGCUGAUGCACACCGGAGACCUAGCUUGUGCAUAUGAACGAACGGGUUCGCAUUCUGCACGAUUGGAAUUCUCAGGACGCUCCUGGUAGCAAGACUCCUCAUGUCUCUGUGUUCUUUAGUGUUAUUGCCAUUCUCCUUUUCCAUGUUUGAAUUCUCCACACAGCUUGACACACAGGCUUCCCUGCUACUUCUCACAACCUGGUGUGGAAUAUCACAUUCUCUCAACUCCAGCGAAAUCCAAUACUAUAUCAUUUUUGGACUUGUUCACCAAAAGGCACCUAAACACUCUCUGGUCUGAUGAAACCAAGAUUGAACUCUUUGGCCUGAAUGCCAAGCGCCACGUCUGGAGGAAACCUGACACCAUCCCUUCGGUGAAGCAAAGUGGUGGCAGAAUCGUGCCGUGGGGAUGUUUUCAGUGACAGGGACUGGGAGACUAGCUCUCAGGACCUCAGACUGGGGCGAAGGUUCGCCUUCUAACUUGACAACGACCCUAAGCACACAGCAAAGACAACGCAGGAGUGGCUUCGGGACAAGUCUCUGAAUGUCCUUGAGUGGCCCAGCCAGAGCCCAGACUUAAACCUGAUCGAACAUAUCUGGAGAGACCUUAAAAUAGCUGUGCAGAAACACUCCCCAUCUAACCUGACAGAGCUUGAGAGGAUAAUCAGAGAAGAAUGGGAAAAACUCCCCAAAUACAGGUGUGCCAAGUUUGUAGCAUCUACCCAAGAAGACUUGAGGCUGUAAUUGCUGCCAAACGUGCUUUAACAAAGUACUGAGUAAAUGUAAUAUUUAUAAUAAUAUUUUUAUUUUUAAUUAAUUAUCAAACAUUUUAAAAUAAACUGCUUUUGCUUUGUCGUUAUCGGUUAUUGGGUGUAGAUUCAUGAGGGGAAAAAAAUAUUUUAUCAAUUUUAGAAUAAGGCUGUAACCUAACAAAAUGUGGAAAAAGUCAAGGGGUCUGAAUACUUUCCGAAGGCACUGUAUGUGUGUGUGUGUUUGCGUGCAUGCGUCCGUGUUGUAGUUGGCUUUGAGACAAUUAAGAAUAAAGUAACAAUACAGGGAUGAUGCAGCCCAGGGCGAACGUCAGACUCCUUUAGUGGCUCUUUGAGGCAGACCUGUAGUACACCCGUAUGUAACAUAACAGAGCCUCACUCAUAACACUCUAAGCAUUACUGUGUAUCUGUGUGUGUAAAUUGUUCAUCAUCACUGCAAGUUGCUCUGUCAAAAGAUGUAUACUUAAACCAACCAAAAGAAGGGGAAACACAAGCCACUGACUGGCCUAAUUGUGUUUUUGAUUAGAAUGUGAAAGCAUCAUAAUAAAAUGCACAUGAGAAGGGGAAGAGGUAAAAGCUUUUACCUUUACUAAGAGCUGCAUUAAAACAACUCUCAUUCUGAAGGAGUGUGUUUAUGAAAACGGCCAUAUCAAGCAGAUUUGUGUGUGUGUGUGUGUGUCUGCGUGUGUGUGAUAGAGACAGAGAGAGAGUGAGAGAGUAAAUUGAAGCAGGUCUUUUAGGCUGCUUUUCAGCUCCCACCUCUAAUUAGAAUCCAGCGUUUCUCGUCCUUCCAAAUAAUACGUGCUGUUCCCUCUGAAGAGCCUGUGUGCCCGCCCUCAGCCCCUCUACAUUAGAUCUGUGUUCAGCACCACCCACUCCCAC